rnacentral:rRNA from 1 species
GACGAACGCUGGCGGCGUGCAUAACACAUGCAAGUCGAACGGAACUAUUAGCAAUAAUAGUUUAGUGGCGGACGGGUGAGUAACGCGUGGGCAACCUGCCCCGGACUGGGGAAUAACGCAGAGAAAUCUGCGCUAAUACCGCAUAACACCAUAAUACCGCAUGGUAAGAUGGUCAAAGGAGAAAUCCGGUUUGGGAUGGGCCCGCGUCCGAUUAGCUAGUUGGUGAGAUAACAGCCCACCAAGGCAACGAUCGGUAGCCGGACUGAGAGGUUGGCCGGCCACAUUGGGACUGAGACACGGCCCAGACCCCUACGGGAGGCAGCAGUGGGGAGUAUUGCGCAAUGGAGGGAACUCUGACGCAGCGACCCGCGUGAAGGAUGAAGGCCUUCGGGUUGUAAACUUCUGUCUUCAGGGACGAGAAAGGACGGUACCUGAGGAGGAAACCACGGCUAACUGCGUGCCAGCAGCCGCGGUAAUACGUAAGUGGCGAGCGUUUGUCCGGAAUUACUGGGUGUAAAAGGCGCCGUAAGCGGGGAUGCAAGUUAAAUGUGAAAUAACCGGGGCUCACUUCCGGGCUGGCAUC